rnacentral:sRNA from 1 species
AAAAGACUUUUAAAACUAGUACGUUGCACUUUUUGUUAAAAGGAGGAAGGUUUUUUGAAAAUUGAUUUUUGUUUAAGGAAGGUGAGAGAUUUUACUGAUUGUGAGAGAUUUUAAGCUACUUAAAAGUAAUAUGUAAACGCGUUUUUGGGAUUGGUUUAAUCCACACAUAUAUACAAGAUACAAA